rnacentral:rRNA from 1 species
GGGUAGUUUGACUGGGGCGGUCUCCUCCUAAAGAGUAACGGAGGAGCACGAAGGUCAGCUAAUCCUGGUCGGACAUCAGGAGGUUAGUGCAAUGGCAUAAGCUGGCUUGACUGCGAGCGUGACGGCGCGAGCAGGUGCGAAAGCAGGUCAUAGUGAUCCGGUGGUUCUGAAUGGAAGGGCCAUCGCUCAACGGAUAAAAGGUACUCCGGGGAUAACAGGCUGAUACCGCCCAAGAGUUCAUAUCGACGGCGGUGUUUGGCACCUCGAUGUCGGCUCAUCACAUCCUGGGGCUGAAGUAGGUCCCAAGGGUAUGGCUGUUCGCCAUUUAAAGUGGUACGCGAGCUGGGUUUAGAACGUCGUGAGACAGUUCGGUCCCUAUCUGCCGUGGGCGCUGGAGAAUUGAGGGGGGCUGCUCCUAGUACGAGAGGACCGGAGUGGACGCAU